rnacentral:lncRNA from 1 species
UCACUAUAAUCCCGCGGAUUAUAGUUGGAUUGUUUUUCGGGCUCACAAUCCAAAAACCUUUACACUUUGGUUUUUCGGGUUCACCAAAAACCUAUGUUGGUUUUACGGGCUCACCAACGAACCUUUGUUGGUUUUUCGGGCUCACCAACGAACCUUUACAAUUGGUUUUACGGGUUCACCAAUCAACCUAUUCCGUUGGUUUUGCGGGCUAACUAACCAACCUUUACAAGUAGUUUAACAAAUAAAGGAAGAAGAUUUAAACUCCUAAAUGAGCAAAUAAAACAAUAUAAUCUACAAAGAAGAGUUUAGAAAGUAUUUAUCGCUUGUAGUGACUUCUCUCUUCUUUGUCAAGGAUGCUUCACUCUUCAAGGGAGGAUGGAGCUCUUGAUGACUCUUUGAAUCUGCUCAACCCCUUUCUUUGAUUCUUGAAUGAAGCACUUGGAUGAAGAAGAUUAGGGCACUUUCUCUUUCUUGUGUACUUUUUGAUAUUCUUUGGAAAGGAUGCUCUAUCUGAUGAAUAGUGCCCCUUUAAAUAGUUUCCUACCUCCAUUGGACAAGCCCCAACGGUUAGAAUUCAAAAACUAGCCGUUACUCACUGUUGGAAGGACAAAAAGUACAUCUGCAGAACUAGCCGUUAUGCUUCUG